AAGCGGGGACUAACGACCCGUGGAGCUGACCGGUACUAAUAAGCCGAAGACUUGACAACACA
rnacentral:rRNA from 1 species